CUAUAAUCUAUGAAACUGAGCUCCAGAGCCAGCCAAUCACUUAGCUCCUCAUAACAAGUCUAACUGGCUCUGGAAAGCUGAAAGGGCUGCACUGGAACAACACAGAAGAGAUAUUCUACACAUUAAUCUACUUAUCUGGAAUCACUUUGACUCUAAAGGGCAGAGAAAAAUCACAGCUUCCUUGUUGGAGGGGAAAAGGACAGGUGAUCUGGGGAAAACGCAGCUACACCUGGAGCAAGGUCCCUUCCCGGCUUUGCAAUCCCAACUGUGCCCGCGCUUCAGGACCCGAGUCGUCCCAGAAACCAAAGGGCAGGCACGGCAGCAAACGCCUGAGUGCUGCUGCCUUUGGUGACUAUGUGAGAAUGGAAACUUCUAAGGAAGCCAGGUUGUUAGAAUUGUUACCCCCUUUACUCGAAGAUAACAUAGAUUAUCCAGACUGAGAUGGAAAACAAGCCCUUUAUUGAAUUUUCAACACAGACUCCCUGCUUCUCAUCUCCUUAAUAAAAUUUCAUUAAACCCCCCUAGAAUUCCCAUGUUCAAAUCUCCAUUUGUUGACAGACAAGGCCAAGAAUACUCUAAACUGAGGCAUGCAAGUCAUUUCAUUUGUAUUCUUGUCCAAAAAUUUCCCAUAGGAAGACUUCACCUCCUACAAUUCUGAAGAAAACUCUUACUGUCCAAGACAAUCGCCAGCAACCAUCCACAGUCAUCUGAGUGGAAACUUUCACAGCUUUUGUACAUUCUCUGUGUCAACAUACAACUGAGUGACAGACUGUCCCCUGGCUCCCUGACCCUUACAAACACUAAAAGUUUUGUUUGACUCAA